rnacentral:lncRNA from 1 species
GCUGCACCUUCAUGUCCUCAGACGGGUUAUUUAACUUAUCAUCCCCUUACCUAUCAUUUUAACCCAGAAAUAGUAGUUGCCAUGUGGCAAUUCAGGCAUCAGCUGGUUCCACCUAAUCCGGACUGUAAAGUUAUUUUACAGGUAAUUGUAUUUCAGAUUUUUUUUUUUUUUUUAAAAUCUAGAAUAGCUGUGAAGCAUAUAUAUAUGUAUUAAUGGAAGGGUGUAUUUUUAACGAAUUCCCGCUUUUAUAGGUAUGCAUUUAUAUAUGUAUUAUACACACCCAUAAAAACAGUACUGGAGUUGGAGGACGUCGAUAGAAGUGCUGACGUUUGCAGAGUUGUUGUAAGCACCCUGGGGACAGAGGGGAUCUUCAUGGCCCUCCAGCUUGGUGCUGCACCACCAGAGGGAGCAAAUAGGGGAGACAUCAGCCGUGCCACUUGGGCCCCUGCGUUUAGUUUUGGAGCUGGGCUGCUGCCUUGA